GACGAACGCUGGCGGCGUGCUUAACACAUGCCAGUCGAACGCUGAAGCUCAGCUUUUGUUGGGUGGAUGAGUGGCGAACGGGUGAGUAACACGUGAGUAACCUGCCCCCUUCUUUGGGAUAACGCCCGGAAACGGGUGCUAAUACUGGAUAUUCACUGGUCUUCGCAUGGGGGUUGGUGGAAAGGGUUUUUCUGGUGGGGGAUGGGCUCGCGGCCUAUCAGCUUGUUGGUGGGGUGAUGGCCUACCAAGGCUUUGACGGGUAGCCGGCCUGAGAGGGUGGCCGGUCACAUUGGGACUGAGAUACGGCCCAGACUCCUACGGGAGGCAGCAGUGGGGAAUAUUGCACAAUGGGCGCAAGCCUGACGCAGCGACGCCGCGUGAGGGAUGGAGGCCUUCGGGUUGUGAACCUCUUUCGCUCAUGGUCAAGCCGCAACAAUGGUUGUGGUGAGGGUAGUGGGUAAAGAAGCGCCGGCUAACUACGUG
rnacentral:rRNA from 1 species